GUCUAUGGCCAUACCACCCUGAAUGCGCCCAGUCUCCUCUGAUCUCAGAAGCUAAGCAGGGCCUGGUUAGUACUUGGAUGGGAGAACGGUAUUCUCAGAAUUUGCAAAUAAGGGCGGGGCGCGGUGGAAU
rnacentral:rRNA from 1 species